CUUCUUUUCCCACCGGAGCUUGCUCCACCGGGAAAAGAGGAGUGGCGAACGGGUGAGUAACACGUGGGUAACCUGCCCAUCAGAAGGGGAUAACACUUGGAAACAGGUGCUAAUACCGUAUAACAAUCGAAACCGCAUGGUUUCGUUUUGAAAGGCGCUUUACGGUGCCGCUGAUGGAUGGACCCGCGGUGCAUUAGCUAGUUGGUGAGGUAACGGCUCACCAAGGCCACGAUGCAUAGCCGACCUGAGAGGGUGAUCGGCCACAUUGGGACUGAGACACGGCCCAAACUCCUACGGGAGGCAGCAGUAGGGAAUCUUCGGCAAUGGACGAAAGUCUGACCGAGCAACGCCGCGUGAGUGAAGAAGGUUUUCGGAUCGUAAAACUCUGUUGUUAGAGAAGAACAAGGGUGAGAGUAACUGUUCACCCCUUGACGGUAUCUAACCAGAAAGCCACGGCUAACUACGUGCCAGCAGCCGCGGUAAUACGUAGGUGGCAAGCGUUGUCCGGAUUUAUUGGGCGUAAAGCGAGCGCAGGCGGUUUCUUAAGUCUGAUGUGAAAGCCCCCGGCUCAACCGGGGAGGGUCAUUGGAAACUGGGAGACUUGAGUGCAGAAGAGGAGAGUGGAAUUCCAUGUGUAGCGGUGAAAUGCGUAGAUAUAUGGAGGAACACCAGUGGCGAA
rnacentral:rRNA from 1 species